AUUGAACGCUGGCGGCAGGCCUAACACAUGCAAGUCGAGUGAGCGGCGGACGGGAGAGUAAUGUAUGGGGACUGCCCGAUAGAGGGGGAUAAAUACUGGAAACGGUAGCUAAUACCGCAUAGUAUAGGCGAACACAUAUGGGAUGAGCUAGUAGGUGAGGUAAUGGCUACCCUCGGCGACGAUCCCUAGAUGGUCUGAGAGGAUGAUCAGCCACACUGGGACUGAGACACGGCCCAGACUCCUACGGAGGCAGCAGUGGGUAAUAUUGCACAAUGGGCGCAAGCCUGAUGCAGCCAUGCCGCGUGUAUGAAGAAGGCCCUAGGGUUGUAAAGUACUUUCAGUCGGGAGGCGUUACCGACAGAAGAAUCACCGGCUAACUCCGUGCCAGCAGCCGCGGUAAUAC
rnacentral:rRNA from 1 species